rnacentral:rRNA from 1 species
UGGGGAAUAUUGCACAAUGGGCGAAAGCCUGAUGCAGCGACGCCGCGUGAGGGACGAAGGUCUUCGGAUUGUAAACCUCUUUCAGCAGGGACGAAGCGAAAGUGACUGUACCUGCAGAAGAAGCACCGGCUAACUACGUGCCAGCAGCCGCGGUAAUACGUAGGGUGCAAGCGUGGUCCGGAUUUAUUGGGCGUAAAGAGCUCGUAGGCGGUUCGUCACGUCGGAUGUGAAAACCUGGGGCUUAACCCCGGGCCUGCAUACGAUACGGGCGAACUAGAGUUCGGUAGGGGAGACUGGAAUUCCUGGUGUAGCGGUGAAAUGCGCAGAUAUCAGGAGGAACACCGGUGGCGAAGGCGGGUCUCUGGGCCGAUACUGACGCUGAGGAGCGAAAGCGUGGGGAGCAAACA